rfam:Ornithorhynchus anatinus chromosome 3, whole genome shotgun sequence.
AGCAGUGUAGCUCUGUGGAAAGAGCACGUGCUUGGGAGUCAGAGGUUGGGGUUCGAAUCCCGGCUCUGCCA